rnacentral:rRNA from 1 species
GACGAACGCUGGCGGCGUGCUUAACACAUGCAAGUCGCACGGGACUGGGGGCAACUCCAGUUCAGUGGCGGACGGGUGCGUAACACGUAAGCAACAUGUCCAAGGGUGGGGGAUAGCCGGCCCAACGGCCGGGUAAUACCGCAUGCAGUCAUCGCUGGCAUCUACGGUGACGAAAGCCGGGGCAACCUGGCGCCCAUGGAGUGGCUUGCGGCCUAUCAGCUAGUUGGGAGGUAACGGCUCACCAAGGCGACGACGGGUAGCUGGUCUGAGAGGAUGACCAGCCACAUUGGGACUGAGACACGGCCCAGACUCUACGGGAGGCAGCAGUGGGGAAUAUUGCGCAAUGGGCGAAUGCCUGA